UACAGAGGUCUCAAGCGUUGUUCGGAUUCAUUGGGCGUAAAGGGUGCGUAGGCGGCAGAUUAAGUCAGCGGUGAAAUUCCACAGCUCAACUGUGGAACUGCCAUUGAUACUGGUUUGCUUGAGUACAGAUGAGGUAGGCGGAAUUGACAGUGUAGCGGUGAAAUGCUUAGAUAUUGUCAAGAACACCUAUUGCGAAGGCAGCUUACUAAGCUGUAACUGACGCUGAGGCACGAAAGCGUGGGGAUCAAACAGG
rnacentral:rRNA from 1 species